rnacentral:rRNA from 1 species
GACGAACGCUGGCGGCGUGCUUAACACAUGCAAGUCGAACGGAAAGGCCCUGCUUUUGUGGGGUGCUCGAGUGGCGAACGGGUGAGUAACACGUGAGUAACCUGCCCUUGACUUUGGGAUAACUUCAGGAAACUGGGGCUAAUACCGGAUAGGAGCUCCUGCUGCAUGGUGGGGGUUGGAAAGUUUCGGCGGUUGGGGAUGGACUCGCGGCUUAUCAGCUUGUUGGUGGGGUAGUGGCUUACCAAGGCUUUGACGGGUAGCCGGCCUGAGAGGGUGACCGGCCACCUUGGGACUGAGAUACGGCCCAGCCUCCUACGGGAGGCAGCAGUGGGGAAUAUUGCACAAUGGGCGGAAGCCUGAUGCAGCAACGCCGCGUGCGGGAUGACGGCCUUCGGGUUGUAAACCGCUUUCGCCUGUGACGAAGCGUGAGUGACGGUAAUGGGUAAAGAAGCGCCGGCUAACUACGUG